UACGUAGGGUGCGAGCGUUAAUCGGAAUUACUGGGCGUAAAGCGUGCGCAGGCGGUUCGUUGUGUCUGCUGUGAAAGCCCCGGGCUCAACCUGGGAAUGGCAGUGGAAACUGGCGAGCUGGAGUGUGGCAGAGGGGGGUGGAAUUCCGCGUGUAGCAGUGAAAUGCGUAGAGAUGCGGAGGAACACCGAUGGCGAAGGCAGCCCCCCUGGGCUGACACUGACGCUCAGGCACGAAAGCGUGGGGAGCAAACAGG
rnacentral:rRNA from 1 species